rnacentral:rRNA from 1 species
UUUUAUUUGAGAGUUUGAUCCUGGCUCAGGACGAACGCUGGCGGCGUGCCUAACACAUGCAAGUCGAGCGGAGUAGAGUUCAACACUGAGUAUUCGAGCGUUGGCAAAAGUUAAGCCAGCGUCAUGCACAAACUACCUUGUUGAUAGACAUAUUUAAAAGAAAGUUUUGUGCAUCACGCUAAAUUAAGUGCCU